AGUGAACGCUGGCGGUAGGCCUAACACAUGCAAGUCGAACGGCGGCACAGUAAGAGCUUGCUCUUACGGGUGGCGAGUGGCGGACGGGUGAGGAAUACAUCGGAAUCUACUUUUUCGUGGGGGAUAACGUAGGGAAACUUACGCUAAUACCGCAUACGACCUACGGGUGAAAGCAGGGGAUCUUCGGACCUUGCGCGAUUGAAUGAGCCGAUGUCGGAUUAGCUAGUUGGCGGGGUAAAGGCCCACCAAGGCGACGAUCCGUAGCUGGUCUGAGAGGAUGAUCAGCCACACUGGAACUGAGACACGGUCCAGACUCCUACGGGAGGCAGCAGUGGGGAAUAUUGGAUAAUGGGCGCAAGCCUGAUCCAGCCAUACCGCGUGGGUGAAGAAGGCCUUCGGGUUGUAAAGCCCUUUUGUUGGGAAAGAAAAGCAGCAGGUUAAUACCCCGCUGUUCUGACGGUACCCAAAGAAUAAGCACCGGCUAACUUCGUG
rnacentral:rRNA from 1 species